rnacentral:lncRNA from 1 species
GGAGAGAGGUUCAUUCAAUGAAAGAAAGAAAGGCUUAAGCAGAAAAGGAACCAAAUUUUAGAGAGGUGGAUAAAUAAAAAAGAAGCUAAGCAUCCAAGAGUUUGGCCUAGUAAUCGCUGAGAACAAUGAGGUAUCUGAUUUGAAUCCCAGCGGAGGCAAGUAGUCGGUUAUUUCUUCCCAUCUGUAUCUGUGCAAGCCUUAGUGGACAAAAUUACCCAGUACAUUUGUUGAUGGUCGGUAGUAGAUACCUCAUGGAAUUAGUCGAGGUACCCGCAAGCUGGCCCAGACACCACGGAUAUAUAAAAUAAACUAAAGGAAGAUGAGAACUCGGGGAUCACAUUAAAUCAAUUUGAGCUAAAUGAACUAGGCAUGGAGAUUAUAAAGAUAAUUUUUUUGGUCUUUUUGAGUUGUUAACUGAUGAUGAGAGUUUGGAUUGAAGAAGUAUUUUGUUUUUGUCAUUAAGUUUGCUUUUUCUCUGAUAAUUUGUUUGAUAAGUACUUUUUAAUUUGAAUUGGACAAGUUUAAAAUACCUGUCUCUUUAUUAACAGUUUGAAUCUAGAAGUCUAGAACCAAUAACUUUUCCUAUGAUAGCCGUUGUUUUAUCCCAUAUAUUUGUAUUACAGGCUUAAGGGUUCUACUUGUGGUAGCGCGAUGGUGAGAAUGUGGAAUAAUGCUUACAAUAUUGCUAUUCUGCAGCUUAUUUUUGUUAGUGUUUGUAGCAUAUAAAAAACCAGAGUUAACAGUUUGAACCUAGAAGUCUAGAACCAAUAACUUUUCCUAUGAUAGCCGUUGUUUUAUCCCGUAUAUUUGUCUGACAGGCUUAAGGAUUCUACUUGUGGUAGCACGAUGGUGAGAAUGUGGAAU